rnacentral:lncRNA from 1 species
UAUGUAUUAGGGGUAGUCGAUAUGGUUCAUGAGAUUUGAAUAUUGGCUCAUGAGAUUUGGUUCAUGGAUAUGGUUCAUGAGAUUUGGAUAUUGGCUCAUGAGAUUUGGUUCAUGGAUAUGGUCCAUGAGAUUUGGGUAUGAUUUGGUGUAUGGCUCAUAGGAUGGGAUGUGGUGUAUGGUUCAUGAGGUUUGGUAUAUAGUCCAUGGGAUUUGGUCUAUGGGAUUUGGUUUAUGAACUUUGGUUAUGGUUUAUAAGGUUUGGUGUAUGGUCCAUGAAAUUUGGUUCAUGAGACUUGGUUCAUGAACAUGGGUAUGGUUUGGUUCAUAGUCCAUGAGGUUUUGUAUAUGGUUCAUGAGAUUUGGUUCAUGAGAUUUGGUUUAGUUUGGUUUAUGAACUUGGAUCAUGGUUCAUGGUUCAUGGUUCAUGAACUUGGUGUAUGGUUUAUGAGUUUAGUUUAUGAGGUUUGGUGUAUGGGAUUUGAUUCAUGAACUUGGAUAUGGUUCAUGGAUAAGGUUUAUGAACUUGGCUCAUGGUUCAUGAUUCAUGAUUCAUGAACUUGGUUUAUGAUUCAUGAUUUUGGUGUAUGGUUUAUGGUUCAUGAACUUGAUUCAUGAACUUGGUUCAUUUGGUUCAUGGUUCAUGGUUCAUAAGGUAUGGUUCAUGAACUUGGUUUAUGAUUUAUAAACUUGGUGUAUGGUUUAUGGGUUUGGUAUAUGAGAUUUGGUUUAUGGACUUGGGCAUGGUUCGUGGUGUUUGGUUCACGAACUUGGAUAAGCUUCAUGAACUUGGUUCAUGGUUUAUGGGAUUUGGUUCAUGAACUUAGGUAUGGUUCGUGGUGCUUGAUUCACGAACUUGGUUCAUGGUUUAUAGGACUUGGGUAUGGUUCAUGGUGUUUGGUUCAUAAACUUGAUUCAUGGUUUAUGGGACUUGGGUAUGGUUCGUGGUGUUUGGUUCAAGAACUGGGUUCAUGGUUUAUGGGAUUUGGGUAUGGUUCGUGGUGUUUAGUUCACGAACUUGGAUAAGCUUCAUGAACUUGGUUCAUGGUUUAUGGGAUUUAGUUCAUGAACUUGGUUUA